rnacentral:rRNA from 1 species
UACGUAGGGCGCAAGCGUGUCCGGAAUUAUUGGGCGUAAAGAGCUCGUAGGCGGCCUGUCACGUCUGCUGUGAAAUCCCGGGGCUCAACCCCGGGCCUGCAGUGGAUACGGGCUGGCUGGAGGCAGGCAGGGGAGAACGGAAUUCCUGGUGUAGCGGUGAAAUGCGCAGAUAUCAGGAGGAACACCGGUGGCGAAGGCGGUUCUCUGGGCCUGUUCUGACGCUGGAGACGCGAAAGCGUGGGGGAGCGAACAGG